AAAACAUUUCCCUGCUGGGGGCGGCGACCACCGUGAGCGUCCCGGAAGGGGCGGCAAAGACGCCUCCGUCGCGCACGAGGUGGCCUCGUUGGCUUUACCUUGGUUCGCGGUCGUCCUUGGUUAUCGUGAGCGUCCGCGAGUCUCUGGGAGGCCAAGCCUAGGGGCGCCACAGCGCCUGCGCGCGUACGGCGGCCGGAAGGGGCUAGAGGCGGCUCCCUGGGUGACAACCGCGCGCCCCACCUUUCCCCACGUGGCCGCGAAGACCGGCACCUGUGCACUGAGUGCCUGCUGCGUGUCGGGCCCCGUCCUAGGCAGUGGGGACAAGGAGGCUACAGGGUACAAAUAAAUGAGUGAACGAUGUUGCUCUAGAUACAGAGACGGGGCCUUACUAUGUUGUCCUUGCUGGUCUCAAACUCCAGACUUGAAACAGUCCUCCCACCUUGGCCUCCUAAAGCACUGGGAUCACAGCUCAGGAGCAUCUAUCGGCUGCACGCCAACAUCAACACAGGCGAAGAUGGUCUCCAAGCGCAUUGCCCA
rnacentral:lncRNA from 10 species